AUGAACGCUGGCGGCGUGCCUAAUACCUGCAAGUCGAGCGAACGGACGAGAAGCUUGCUUCUCUGAUGUUAGCGGCGGACGGGUGAGUAACACGUGGAUAACCUACCUAUAAGACUGGGAUAACUUCGGGAAACCGUAGCUAAUACCGGAUAAUAUUUUGAACCGCAUGGUUCAAAAGUGAAAGACGGUCUUGCUGUCACUUAUAGAUGGAUCCGCGCUGCAUUAGCUAGUUGGUAAGGUAACGGCUUACCAAGGCAACGAUGCAUAGCCGACCUGAGAGGGUGAUCGGCCACACUGGAACUGAGACACGGUCCAGACUCCUACGGGAGGCAGCAGUAGGGAAUCUUCCGCAAUGGGCGAAAGCCUGACGGAGCAACGCCGCGUGAGUGAUGAAGGUCUUCGGAUCGUAAAACUCUGUUAUUAGGGAAGAACAUAUGUGUAAGUACCUGUGCACAUCUUGACGGUACCUAAUCAGAAAGCCACGGCUAACUACGUG
rnacentral:rRNA from 1 species